CAUACUGCCUAAUGGCUGUGGAAGAGGAGAUGAAAUAACUGAGGAGUCUUUGGUAGCCUACCCAAAAAGGAUGUGCUUAGCAGUCAGUUGGUGCAACACGAACCACAGAAAAAGGACGGAUGCCCCUGCCCUUUCACCCCUUCUCCUUCCAUCUGAUUGCACAGAAGCCGUAGUGUGUUUUUUGUUUCCCUGAAGAUGCUACACUCAAGGGUGUCAUUCUGCAGUAGUGAGCCUAUCUAUAGGUCACACAUAGUGCUGUAACAACCAUUACAGUGAUGUGGACGUGGAACGCUGCUGUCGCACAUUAAGCUACAUUCAAUACAUACAAUGAAGGCUGAAGAUGGAUUGCUUUGAUGACAUUAUUGCGACACCUUUGUGAAAUUCAGCUAAGGCUCUGCAAUACCGAUGGCAGGACAGCUGCUAUCUGGCUAUGGUGAGGAAGGUGAUAGCAAACGGGUUUAGUUCUGCCGUUGUUACACCAUCAUAAUGGAUUAUUUCUGUAAAUGACCAAAAACAUUAAUAACUAAUGCUAGAUUGAUAACUAUACUAAAUUGAUCACAUAUAAAUCCACGGAAAUGGCAAUAUAUGUAUGUAGAGGUGGAAGAAAUAGCGCAGCUGUAAAACA